rnacentral:rRNA from 1 species
ACCCCGCACAAGCGGUGGAUCAUGUUGUUUAAUUCGAUGAUACGCGAAGAACCUUACCAGGUCUUGACAUCCCCCGCGAUGCUUUAGAGAUAAAGCGGAGGUAUUCGGGGAGACAGGUGGUGCAUGGUUGUCGUCAGCUCGUGUCGUGAGAUGUUGGGUUAAGUCCCGCAACGAGCGCAACCCUAUUGCUAGUUACCAUCAUUAAGUUGGGGACUCUAGCGAGACUGCCAGUGAUAAACUGGAGGAAGUGGGGAUGACGUCAAAUCAUCAUGCCCCUUAUGACCUGGGCUACAAACGUGAUACAAUGGCUGGAACAAAGGGAUGCGAAGCAGUGAUGUGGAGCGAAACCCAUAAAAACAAGUCUCAGUUCGGAUUGAAGUCUGCAACUCGACUUCAUGAAGUCGGAAUCGCUAGUAAUCGCGGAUCAGAACGCCGCGGUGAAUACGUUCUCGGGGUUU